UACAGAGGGGGCAAGCGUUGCUCGGAAUCACUGGGCGUAAAGCGCACGUAGGCGGAUCGUUAAGUCAGGGGUGAAAUCCUGGAGCUCAACUCCAGAACUGCCUUUGAUACUGGCGACCUUGAGUUCGGGAGAGGUGAGUGGAACUGCGAGUGUAGAGGUGAAAUUCGUAGAUAUUCGCAAGAACACCAGUGGCGAAGGCGGCUCACUGGCCCGAUACUGACGCUGAGGUGCGAAAGCGUGGGGAGCAAACAGG
rnacentral:rRNA from 1 species